rnacentral:rRNA from 1 species
GAUGAACGCUGACAGAAUGCUUAACACAUGCAAGUCAAAUGGAAUGUGGGUGUUUAUCUUGGGUGUUGGUGUCGGGCGGGUGAGUAACGCGUAAAGAACUUGCCUCCCAGCUAGGGACAUAAUUUGGAAACGAAUGCUAAUACCUAAUAUUAUGAUAAUAGCUCCUCGUAUAGGUAUGAAAGCUAUAAGCGCUGUGGGAGGGCUUUGCGUCCCAUCAGCUAGUUGGGGAGGUAGCGGCUCACCAAGGCGAUGAUGGGUAGCCGGCCUGAGAGGGUGAUCGGCCACAAAGGGACUGAGACACGGCCCGAACUCCAACGGGGGGCAGCGGUGGGGAAAUUUGGACAAGGGAGCAAGCGUCUGGUCCAGCAAUUCUGUGUGGACGAUGAAGUUUUUCGGAAUGUAAAGCGCUUUCAGUUGAGAAGAAAUAAAUGACGGUACCAACAGAAGAAGCGACGGCUAAAUACGUG